ACGGAGGGUGCAAGCGUUGUUCGGAAUCACUGGGCGUAAAGCGCGUGUAGGCGGCCAUUUAAGUCUGGUGUGAAAGCCCUGGGCUCAACCCAGGAAGUGCACUGGAUACUGGAUGGCUGGAGUACCGGAGAGGAGGGUGGAAUUCCUGGUGUAGCGGUGAAAUGCGUAGAUAUCUGGAGGAACACCGGUGGCGAAAGCGGAUCUCUGGCACGUUACUGACGCUGAGGCUCGAAAGCGUGGGGAGCAAACGGGA
rnacentral:rRNA from 1 species